UUUCUUGAAUUUGUUCCGCUUCUAUUUUGUUCCACUAUUCUUUUUAUUGUUGGUGUCUCUGCUGCCUUAAUCGCUCGGAGUGAUGUUACUGCCGCUAGGACGGAUGCCCGGGGUUUGAUUUCUAUUUUUUUUGUCGCUGGGAGCAGACACCAGAGCUGUUCUUAAUGAUUCGGGUCGGUUCCAGCUACUGUAAUUGCAAUUUGUAAUAAUGCGAUUACUAUAAGAGGCGUCAGAGUUGUUGCUGUCCUCGUGGGGUUAACGUUAUCGCUACUGCCAUGAAUUAAAAGGAAAGAGAAUUGUCACGAUAAGUUACGCGGACUCAGCUAACUGAGCUUUACCUUUUCAGGAACCGAAUAAAGAAGCAUUAAGAAG